rnacentral:rRNA from 1 species
GAUGAACGCUGGCGGCGUGCCUAAUACAUGCAAGUCGAGCGAACGGACGAGAAGCUUGCUUCUCUGAUGUUAGCGGCGGACGGGUGAGUAACACGUGGAUAACCUACCUAUAAGACUGGGAUAACUUCGGGAAACCGGAGCUAAUACCGGAUAAUAUUUUGAACCGCAUGGUUCAAAAGUGAAAGACGGUCUUGCUGUCACUUAUAGAUGGAUCCGCGCUGCAUUAGCUAGUUGGUAAGGUAACGGCUUACCAAGGCAACGAUGCAUAGCCGACCUGAGAGGGUGAUCGGCCACACUGGAACUGAGACACGGUCCAGACUCCUACGGGAGGCAGCAGUAGGGAAUCUUCCGCAAUGGGCGAAACCCUGACGGAGCAACGCCGCGUGAGUGAUGAAGGUCUUCGGAUCGUAAAACUCUGUUAUUAGGGAAGAACAUAUGUGUAAGUAACUGUGCACAUCUUGACGGUACCUAAUCAGAAAGCCACGGCUAACUUCGUG